CCCCCGCCCCGCCCGGGGCGCGCCCCGGGCGGGGGGGGGGCACGGGGGGAACGCGAAGAACCUUACUUACUCUUGACAUCCAGAGAACUUUCCAGAGAUGGUUUGGUGCCUUCGGGAACUCUGAGACAGGUGCUGCAUGGCUGUCGUCAGCUCGUGUUGUGAAAUGUUGGGUUAAGUCCCGCAACGAGCGCAACCCUUAUCCUUUGUUGCCAGCGGUCCGGCCGGGAACUCAAAGGAGACUGCCAGUGAUAAACUGGAGGAAGGUGGGGAUGACGUCAAGUCAUCAUGGCCCUUACGAGUAGGGCUACACACGUGCUACAAUGGCGCAUACAAAGAGAAGCGACCUCGCGAGAGCAAGCGGACCUCAUAAAGUGCGUCGUAGUCCGGAUUGGAGUCUGCAACUCGACUCCAUGAAGUCGGAAUCGCUAGUAAUCGUAGAUCAGAAAGCUA
rnacentral:rRNA from 1 species